GAAACGCGAAAUGUAAUGUGAAUUGCAGAAUUCCAGUGAAUCAUCGAAUCUUUGAACGCACCUUUCGCUCCGUGGUAGUCCGCGGAGCAUGCCUGUUUGAGUGUCGCACCUCUCUCAACCGAGCCUUUUCUUACGAAAGGGCCCGGCUUGGAUCGUGGCCUCGGUCCCUCGCCCUUUGCGGCGCAGGGAAGGCCGAAACGAACGAGCGCUUCCCACGAGAAGGCGUGCGGCUUGACCGGAUCGAUUGUACGCACCUUCGACGCCGGGACGCGCGCCUUUGCGAAAAAGUCGGACGCUUCGAACUCACGCACCUUGUGAAUUUCGACCUCAAAUCAGGUAGGACGACCCGCUGAACUUAAGC
rnacentral:misc_RNA from 1 species